rnacentral:rRNA from 1 species
AAGGCGUACAGUGAAUGCCUUGGCACUAAGAGGCUACGAAAGACGUGACUACCUGCGAUAAGCGGUGGGGAGCUGGAAGUAAGCUUUGAUCCAUCGAUUUCUGAAUGGGGGAACCCAAUGCAAUUAACCUUGCAUUAUCGAGCGAUUUUCAUCGCUCGAAGCUAGACCUAGGGAAGUGAAACAUCUCAGUACCUAGAGGAAAAGAAAGAUUUAUCUAUUCCGUAAGUAGCGGCGAGCGAAAGCGGAGGAGCCCAAACCACCUUCGGGUGGGGUGUGGACCGCGAUGUGGGAUUUGUUUUGUUCCAUUCGAACGGCCUGGGAAGGCCGGCCAGAGAAGGUGACAGCCCUGUAGGAAUACGAACGGAACACCCUAGCGGUAUCCCAAGUACGGCGGGUCAAAUAUCCUGUCGGAAGACGCGUCGACCAUGACGUAAGGCUAAAUACUCCUUAGUGACCGAUAGUGAACCAGUACCGUGAGGGAAAGGUGAAAAGAACCCCGGGAGGGGAGUGAAAAGACUCUGAAACUGUAUGCUUACAACAAGUUAGAGGGCGUUAAGGCCUGAUAACGUGCCUAUUGAAGAAUGAGCCGGCGAGUCACGUUUACAUGCGAGGUUAAGUAGAAGAUACGGAGCCGUAGCGAAAGCGAGUCUGAAUAGGGCGCUUUAGUAUGUAUGCGUGGACCCGAAGCCCGACGAUCUACCCUUGGCCAGGUUGAAAGAAGAGUAACAUCUUCCGGAGGACCGAACCGACGUUCGUUGAAACGCCCGCGGAUGAGCUGAGGGUAGGGGAGAAAUUCCAAUCGAGUUGGGGGAUAGCUGGUUCUCCCCGAAAUAGCUUUAGGGCUAGCCUUCGGUUACACCCCUUGAGGGUAGAGCACUGAAUGCUUGAUGGCCGCUUCUGGCGGUACUGAAUGCAAUCAAACUCCGAAUUCCAAGGGUUUUGUCCGGGGAGUCAGUCUGUGGGAGAUAAGUUCCAUGGACAAAAGGGAAACAGCCCAGACCGUCAAAUAAGGUCCCUAAAUCUACGCUAAGUGUAAAAGGAAGUGGAGAUACUUAAACAGCUAGGAUGUUGACUCAGAAGCAGCCAUCAUUUAAAGAGUGCGUAACAGCUCACUAGUCGAGUGUCUCUGCACCGAUGAUUUACCGGGGCUUAAGCGUAGUACCGAUUUUACGGCUUUGCACUUUGUGCAAGGGGUAGGGGAGCGUUCCAUGUGGAGUGAAGUUGGACCGGAAGGACCAGUGGACUGCAUGGAAGUGAGUAUGCCGGCGUAAGUAACGAUAGAGGGUGAGAAUCCCUCUCACCAUUAGACUAAGGUUUCCUGGGGAAGGGUCGUCCUCCCAGGGUUAGGCGGGACCUAAGACGAGGCCGAUAGGCGUAGCCGAUGGACAGCUGGUUGAUAUUCCAGCCCCCGCAUGCAUGCGAUGUAGUGACAGAUUUGGAUAACGGUACCUCUUAUUGGAUUGAGGGCUAAGCGCCGUGACUGAUCGGUAGGCAAAUCCGCCGGUCAAUGUGAAAGCGCGAAUGGGACCGAACAGCUUCGGCUAAGUAGGGAACUCCGCGAUGCCAGGUCUCGAGAAAAACUGCUAGCUUAAGUGCAUGUGGCCCGUACCGAGAACGGACACACGUGGUCAAGGAGAGUAUCCUGAGGUGAGCGAGUUAACUGUUGUUAAGGAACUCUGCAAAAUUGCUUCGUAACUUCGGAAGAAGAAGCGCCAACGCGAGUUGGCCGCAGUGAAGAGGCCCAAGUAACUGUUUACCAAAAACACAGCUCUAUGCUAAGCCGCAAGGCGACGUAUAUGGGGUGAUGCCUGCCCAGUGCUGGAAGGUUAAAAGGUGGGGUUAGUCCUUCGGGGCGAAGCUCCUAAUUGAAGCCCUAGUGAACGGCGGCCGUAACUAUAACGGUCCUAAGGUAGCGAAAUUCCUUGUCAGGUAAGUUCUGACGCGCAUGAAUGGUAUAAUAAUUUGGGCGCUGUCUCGACAGCAGACUCGGUGAAAUCUUAUUACCUGUGAAGAUGCAGGUUACCCGCGACUAGACGGAGAGACCCCAUGGAGCUUUACUGUAAUUUAAUAUUGAAUGCUUGAAAUUCAUAUGUAGGAUAGGUUGGAGACUUUGAAGCCAGUGCGCUAGCAUUGGUGGAGUCAACGGUGAAAUACAACUUUUGGAUUUCAAUCAUUCUAACUGACAAAUUUACUCUUUGCAGGACAGUGUUAGACGGGCAGUUUGACUGGGGCGGUCGCCUCCCAAAAUGUAACGGAGGCGCCCCAAGGUACCCUCAAUACGGUUGGAAAUCGUAUUUCGAGUGCAAUGGCAUAAGGGUGCUUGACUGCGAGAUCGACAAAUCGAGCAGGUACGAAAGUAGGGCAUAGUGAUCCGGCGAUUCUGCGUGGAAAGAU